GCCUUCUUAGCUAAGGGGCAGAGCAUUCACUUAGUAAGCGAAAGGUCGCCGGUCGAUUCCAGCAGGAGGNN
rfam:Gregarina niphandrodes unplaced genomic scaffold scaffold00085, whole genome shotgun sequence.